rnacentral:rRNA from 1 species
UUAGAUCGAAAGCUCCGGCGCCUAAGGAUGAGUCUGCGGACUAUCAGGUAGUAGUCAGGGUAAAGACCUGACUAGCCUACGACGGAUACGGGUUGUGAGAGCAAUAACCUGGAGAUGAUAUCUGAGACACGAUAUCAGGCCCUACGGGGCGCAGCAGGCGCGAAAACUUCGCAAUGUGCGAAAGCACGACGAGGGAAUCCCAAGUGCUAGCUCGUAAGAGUUAGCUGUUUUUAUGUCUAAAACGCAUAGAGAGUAAGAGCUGGGUAAGACGGGUGCCAGCCGCCGCGGUAAUACCUGCAGCUCAAGUGGUGGCCGCUAUUAUUGGGCCUAAAACGUCCGUAGCCGGUUUGUUAAAUGCCUAGGUAAAUCGUGUAGCUUAACUAUACGAAUUCUGGGUAGACUGGUAAACUUGAGACCGGGCGAGGCUAGAGGUACUCCUGGGGUAGAGGUGAAAUUCUGUAAUCCUAGGGGGACCACCAGUGGCGAAGGCGUCUAGCUAGAACGGGUCUGACGGUGAGGGACGAAGCCCUGGGGCGCAAACGGGAUUAGAUACCCCGGUAGUCCAGGGUGUAAACGCUGCUUGCUUGAUGUUAGUUGGGCUUCGGGCCCAAUUAGUGUCGGAGAGAAGUUGUUAAGCAAGCUGCCUGGGAAGUACGGCCGCAAGACUGAAACUUAAAGGAAUUGGCGGGGGAGCA